AAAGAAACCUGAUGUGUUUUGGUUUUUAAUGAAAAAAGACAAUAACGCCCUUCCCUAAAACUCCGUUUAGCCCAUUGGAGUAUCAGGUACAGAAGAAAACCCCGUUUAACUAUUUGGAAGUGGAAGAUAAGAAUCUAAAAUUAUGUUCACUAAAUAUUUGUAUGUAGUUUCUUUACUCUCUUUUUUCAUGGAAAUCAUCCAUUAUGACCGCCAUCGCUUGUUGAUUGUGUAUGUACAGGAUCCGCACACUGGAGAUUUGGUGGUGUACCGGCACGACUUGGAGAGCCCCUCAUUCUUGGGGCAUUUCCCGCGGGAGCUUUGCCCUGGAUCGUCGCGAAUACAAGCACUGACUGGAUUUGUGAAU
rnacentral:lncRNA from 1 species